rnacentral:lncRNA from 1 species
CAGGUUUUGGCAACGUUUGGGCCGUAAAUCCACUGGCAUUUGGGGUUCUUGCAGCCGAUGAGCUUGGCGGUGGAGGAUUUCUUAGGGAUGAAUGUGGUAAUGUUGGUUGGAUCGACGUUGCGGAAGUUGCAGCGGGAACAGAGGUAGCGGGAUGUGCAGGGGAACCAGACGAGGGUGCUUCCGGUGUCCAUGACGAACUUGGUGGUCUGCGG